CCUCUCCGUGCCCACUCUGGGCGCCCAGGUGUGGACAGGAUUCUCCCCUGCUGCGGGUGCUGACGGCUCUGCCAGGUCCCCUGUGCCAAUAUUGACCAGAGAACUCUGUGUGGCGGGCGCUGGGCCAGCCCCACACUCCUGGCCCACAGCACUGGGCCCAUAAUCCAACGCUGGUGUGUCAGCACCAUUAUCUCAGCCUCUUUAUUUCAGAGCUUCUUGUUCUCAUACUGCUGAAUUCUCUCAGAGAAAAGAAAGAAAAAGUCCUUGCUAGGUGGACGGAGCCUCCCCGGAACCAGCACCCUCACCGGCACCCUCGCUGGCAGGCACUAAUGAGCUCCCGGGGUUUCAGGCUCAGCAGAGCAGGGGAGACUAAGGAAGGGGUCUGCCAGGUCAUGGUCACCCUUCGCCAGCAAGCACACCAGGAGAAGAAACCAUGAGGCUGGUGCCAGAGCGAAGCCCACCUUGAGAUGGGAAAAUAAACGCCUCAAGAAGCUGCACAGAUUGCCCCAAGACUCUCAGGAGGUGAGUGGGAGGACACAAACCCAGGACAGACAACUGCGGGAAAGAGGCAAUAGGAACACAUUUUGGAAGCUGCAUAGCAGAUGCAUGAGGAGGGACUGAAUUAGCCAAGGCGAGCUGCAGGGAGCUGAGCUGCAGAGGCCGUCACGACCCAGAGGAUGUGGAUUUAUCCUGGGAUGUCAAGGAGGGUAAGGGACAGGGCUCCCAGGGUGCCAGGUGGACAGCAGGACUGGGAGUGGCAAGACUAUUUCCGAAGCAGGUACGUGGCCAGGUGUUCCUCUGCCCCUAGGUAGCCUGCCACACCCACCUCAGGUGGCAUCUGGAGGAUGGGGAAGAGACUCAGGACCGAGGGCUCUGGGCAGAGCCAAGGGCAAGAGGAUUCAGUGUUUCUUUGUUGUCACAGGACUGGGGGUCAGGGGGCUGUCCCUUUUUUUGGGGGUGGUUUCCCAGGUCACUGGCUGAAAGCACGUCAGACCCCUGGCAGGAUGUUGGAGGAUUCCUUUUUAGGGAGACUUAUGGACUCAAAACAAAUGAUUCUAAACACUUCCAGACAUUUAAAAACAAAUAAAGGACUAGAAUCAAGCUUCAUUAGUCUUCUCAACAGCAACAUUUGAAGCCAGGAGGUAAUGGAAAAUUGUCUUCAAAAUUUUAUGGGAAAAAUAGUUUUCUACUAGAAUUUUAACCCAAAUGAACAAACUAUCAAUCAAAACAGUUCAGACACACAAUUGUUCAAUAAACACAUCUCUCACUCUUUCAGUGAGGUGCUGGGGGAUGCACCCACAAAAUGAGAGACAACGACUUGGGAUUCAAGGAACCAAGAAUCCAAAAGGAAAGAGGCCAUGGGAAUCCCCAGAGUGAAAGGAAAGGGAAGCUAAGGAAUCCGGUGCUGAAGAGGAAGGGAGGCUGCAAGAGGGGCAUCUCCCAGGGAAGAUGAAAACACAGAGGGCCUUUUGCAUCUUGAGAGGAGAUUUACAAUUCUCACAGAGAGGUUAGGGCUGAGUUAGUGAUAUGUAUAUGAAAAACGAAUCCAGUGAAAAAGCAAUUAAGUAAAGUCCAGGAAAAACAAACUAAAAAAAAGAAAAUUGUUUAAGGAAGAAACUGUAAUUAUAGUACACUACGUGUCUCAGCUGUGAGUCAUAUUUAUACAAUGUCAUGACAUUUAAUUGAUCUACUAGAAUACUGAUCUGUUCAGACAUUACAAACAGCAGUGGGUGUGUCAGGGAAGAAAGACCUUGAUAACGAGUAGGGACGUGGUACAGAAAUGCCGAAUUCUCAUUUUUCAUUAUAUGAAGUCAGUAGCCAAAAUUGAACUAAAGAAAGUCAGCAAAUAGAAAUAUAAGCAUGCUAUUUAGAAAUGUGGGGGUAAACAGGUACAGUUUUAGCUUUUAGGUGGAUUGCCUCUGGGGAGUGGAAUGGACACUGCCCUGCAGAUCUAUUGGUGGGUAUUUGUGUGUGUGUGUGUGUGUGUGUGUGUGUGUGUGUGUGUAAGAUGGAGUCUUGCUCUGUCAC